ACCCCGUGGCUUUAAGGUCCGGCGUGCCGUGUGCCUGCGGAAUUGCCACGAGAGGAAAUACCUCAGAGGGGCUUCCCUCCAGAUAAGCCCUGAAUAUGCCAGGAGGUUUCAGCCGGGAGAAAGGAGCUGUGGAAGAAAACCAGCC